rnacentral:rRNA from 1 species
CAUAGCGUAUAUUUAAGUUGUUGCGGUUAAAAAGCUCGUAGUUGGAUUUCGGGCGUGGAGGUUCGGUCCGCCGUUUCGGUGUGCACUGUCUUUCUGCGUCUUUCUGUCGGGGACGCGCUUCUGGCCUUAAUUGGCUGGGACGUGGAUUCGACGAGGUUACUUUGAAAAAAUUAGAGUGUUCAAAGCAAGCUAAAGCUCUGAAUACAUUAGCAUGGAAUAACGCGAGAGGACUCGGUCCUUAUUUUGUUGGUCUUCAAGGAUGGAGCAAUGAUUAAGAGGGACAGUUGGGGGCAUUCGUAUUUCAUUGCUAGAGGUGAAAUUCUUGGAUUUAUGAAAGACGAACUUCUGCGAAAGCAUUUGCCAAGGAUGUUUUCAUUGAUCAAGAACGAAAGUUGGGGGCUCGAAGAUGAUCAGAUACCAUCCUAGUCUCAACCAUAAACGAUGCCGACUAGGGAUUGGCAGGUGUUACAUCGAUGACUCUGCCAGCACCUUAUGAGAAAUCAAAGUUUUUGGGUUCCGGGGGGAGUAUGGUCGCAAGGCUGAAACUUAAA